UCCUGCUGUUAUACUUUAUUGGUGAAUACGUGACAACUAUUUCCACGUGUAUACUUUAUAAUUUAAACAGAUUAUUUAAACUAUUUAAAUAGUUUAUUUAAACUAUCAUAAGAUAAAAUUGAUUUAAUCAACAAUGUGUUUCGUAAUGAAGGGGGCAGGUCCGGCGGAAGUCGUUGUACGUGCAGCUUUUGCAAUCUUGGGGAGGUCACGGUACAGUUGUUGCCCAUGUUUUUGCAAGAUACUAGUGGAAUAAGAAUAUUUUGAUAGACAGCAGUUACUAAUUUUGCAACAUUUCGGACAAGUCUGGUCGUGGUUGUUGUCUACCAUGAAGCAACAUCAACUGUCUGCAGUAAAGCGCCUUACAAAACCAAUUUUAUUUGGAACAUUAAUCGUGGGACUGGCCACUGCUUUCUUCAACAGACACCGAUUCUUUGAGGACCUAGCAGAGAUGAGGGCUCAGGAGCGUGCUAAGAAUGAUGCCAAGCUGAUGGAGGUGCUGGAGAUGAGAAAGAGGCAGAUGGAGGAGCUAGCAGAGAAGAAGAAGCCAUGAUGACCCACUGGGGACAACAGACACUGAGCUUGACAGACCGAAUGACAGCAUCCCUUUGGUGGGGUUGCUGGGGGUUGUACAAUACAGGCCAUUUUUGGUGAGGGAAUCUUUUAUCAAACAAAUAGACAGGACAGAGGAGCAGAGAAUAAGUAAUGUCACGACAAGAGCAUCAUUAAUGUGAAGGUUUUCAUUGUGGAUAUUCAUCUAACUGAAUGUUUUCGUGGACCUCUAAAUAGUCCAAUUAGGGAUCCAUGAAGAGACCUCUUCUUGUCAAAGCAAGAACUGAAAGGCAAUAACGUGUUUGGGGAGUGGGGACACUUUUUGGUUCACUGCUGCAACUUCACUACAAUGUAAUAUUUGAUUAGAGAGCGAGGCAUCACAUUAUUUUUGUCCCAUGAUGAUAAUCGGGUACAGCUAUGAAUAAGCCUACAGUACUCAUAUAAUUAAUUGUACAGAAAAUCAUGAUGUUUAAUCAGAAUAGACUAUCCACUUGUUAGUUGUACCCACGGAGAGGGAAUUCAACCUCUGAAAUGUAUGAUUGCUAGACAAAAAAAAGUUUUUGCGUUUUGGCGGACAUUUUGUGUUAUCUACUUUUACCAAUAAAAACUAUGAAUUUACGUCCUAAUCUAGAAACGAAA